UUAGGGAGGUGCGUAAUAUGCUGAUGAAAGUAUUGUGUGAAUGUUACAAAACUGAACUGAAAGAAUGGUGAUAUGUGUGGAAAAUUGUUAAUUGUCCCGAUGUCUGAAAGAACUCUGCUGAGCACGCUGAAGAUUGUGAUGUGAAUGCUUGCAAAACCAGAGAGCUUAGUAUAUUUAAAAGUGUGUGUGUGAAAUAAGGGUGUAUUGUUUUUAGAUCAAGACUUAGCAGAAGUACAGAGGGUUUAUAGACUGUAAAUAUAAAAAACAAGAGUUUGAUUAGUCUGUAGAAACAGGAAAGAGAGAAACAGAAAAAUAUGAGUCUGCAUGGCUGUGUGUGUGAGAGAGGAAGUAGUGUGUGUGACAGGAACUUUGCAUGCCCAUAAAAGGAAACUGGCUGAUGUGUGUAGUGUGAGACCAGAGAGAGACUUAGGAAGGAAUGUGUUAAGAAAAAGUGAUAAAAUGAAAUUAAUUAAAUGCUUUAGUGUGUUAAUACAGGUGGACUUCCCUCAACCUGAAAUCUUGAGUAAAGCGGCAAAAUGAUAGAUUAACAGAAUUGGGAGGAAAACAGGCCAGGUUUUGGCUAAAAUUUUACAGCUUGACCUCUCACUUUGUCCCGACCCUGAGAAGAAGCUCAAAGGACAGUUAAUCUCCUGAUGAAGACCGACAGAACAUCGUGGACUUGAAGAAUUAACAGCAGGCAAAAGACAGUGCAACUGACCUAUAACACUGAAGGGUCAAGCAGCAGCAUGUAUGAAUACCACUGAUGGAACAUGAGUUUUGAAUUGCAAGCUGGAAACUUGACAAGUGACAUGACUGUUUGAAGGCACUGGAUGUGAUAUUUGCCAUGCUGGGAGUUAACCUAAAAGAAAAGACUGAAAAGAUCAAGAGAGAAGUAACAGAGAAGAAGAAACAGCUGAGUUGGGCCUGUGUUGAUCUGUGAGGCCCCACAGGAAACUAUGAGAACAGUGAGAGACGUGAACCUGGACGUCAUAUAGUGAAUGCAUAUGGGAAAAUUGGAUUGAAGGCUGAACUCAUGAAAGUUUAGAAAUGUCCACCACAUCACAACAAAGAGGGAAACAAAAAAGCAGGUGAAACUAUGUCAGUUGACCUCGGACUCUCAGUACGCUGUGGAAUCUGAGGCCAACCACUAGAUAUGAUGUGAGGAAAAUGAACAGAGGGAGUAAUUUAAGUCUGAUUUCAGACUAUAGUAAAAAGAACAAAGCAGAGUAGGAGCCAUUGAGAUGAUCCACGAUUUGCCCU